UAGACUCUCAAGCAUGCUGCG
rnacentral:misc_RNA from 1 species